rnacentral:lncRNA from 11 species
AGUAUGCUAAUCAUGUAUUGUAUUGUACGUGAAUGUAAUUUGUAAGCCGCUCUCUGAGUCCCCUUUGGGGUGAGAAGGGCGGCAUAUCAAUGUAGUAAAUAAAUACAUAAAUAAAUAAAUGUGGGGCUUGUGCCUUUGGCUCCUCCUCCCUCCUCCACCCUCCCUUCCUUCUUCCCAGGCUUGUGUCCAUGAGCCAUGAUGCGCAAGAAGGGACCCCCAGACUCCGGAUGGCUCCUCCUCGGCACCGGAGCCCCCCAAGAGACCCCCCAAGAAGAGGAGGAGGAAGAAGAAGACCCCCUGGGCUUCCUGGGCAAUGGGGUCCCAGGGGGGGCCUUUGCCACGGGCGAGGAAGAGGAGGACCAGGACCAGGAGGAGGAAGGCCAGGAGGAGCCGGCUCCUUUCCCGAGGGGACCAGGACCAGGAGGGAACUGCUUCAGCGAUGGGAAGACCCCCAUUGACUUCGUGCUGGUUUGGGAGGAGAAGCCCCCCAAGAAGCACCAGCGGCGGAGCCGGAGGAAAGGCCGAGGCGCGGACGCGGAAGGAGCGGAAAGGGCUCCCGGGAGGCAGGAGCGGUGGCGCCGGAAGUUCCUCAAGAACCUGCGCAGCACCGGGCUCCUGGCGGAGAAGGAGGAGACCCUGAGCCAGAGGAAGAGCUUCCACUUCCUGAAGCUGAGUGCGCCCUGGGAGGUGCUGGUCUACUACGCGGAGGAGCUCUGCUUACGGGCCCCGCUCCAGGUGAGAGAGACCCCCAUUAUCAUCAUCAUUAUCAUUAUUAUGAUUAUUAUGACACAGCAAACAAGAUCGAUAUGCUGGAUUUCGUAUCACAAAAUCACAAGUCGGACACUUCCCAAGUGUCUAGGACUGUGUGAUGUAUUUUCGGAUUGAGAUCCCAGUCGGGUGGCCUUUUGCAGUUGGCAGAUCGUGAUUUUGUCAAUGCCUAUUGUUUCCAAAUGCCGGCUGAGAUCUUUCGGUGUGCCCAUCACCACCGGGACCACCUGCACUGGUUUCUGCCAGAGUCUUUGCAGUUCAAUCUUGAGGUCCUGAGAGCGGCUGAGUUUUUCCUGUUGUUUUUCGUCAAUGCGACUGUCACCUGGGAUGGCGACAUCCAUGAUCCAAACCUUUUUCUUCUCCACAACUGUGAUGUCUGGUGUGUUGUGUUCCAGAACUUUGUCAGUCUGGAUUCGGAAGUCCCACAGUAUCUUUGCGUGCUCAUUUUCCAAUACUUUUGCUGGUUUGUGAUCCCACCAGUUCUUUGCUGCUGGGAGGUGGCACUUGAGGCAUAAGUUCCAAUGAAUCCUUUGGGCCACAUAGUGUGCCUCUGUUUGUAGUCUGUCUGUGCAGUUUUCUUAUGAUCCAUGGUUUCAUCGGUUUCCUUGCACAGUCUGCAUUUUGGUCAUCAGCUGAUUUUUCGAUCUUGGCCUGAAUGGCCUUUGUUCUGAUGUCUUGCUCCUGGGCUGCAAGGAUCAGGCCUUCUGUCUCCUUCUUCAGGGUCCCAUUCGUGAGCCAGAGCCAGGUCUUCUAUUAUUAUUAUUAUUAUUAUUAUUAUUAUUAUUAUUAUUAAUGGCCUUUGUCCUGAUGUCUUGCUCCUGGGCUGCAAGGAUCAGGCCUUCU